AUGGGAAUCGAACCCACAGUGUUCCGCUUACCGGGCAGAUGCCAUAUCCACUAAGCU
rnacentral:tRNA from 1 species